UACGGAGGGGGCAAGCGUUGUUCGGAAUUACUGGGCGUAAAGGGCGCGUAGGCGGCCUUCUAAGUCGAACGUGAAAUCCCCGGGCUCAACCCGGGAACUGCGUCCGAUACUGGAAGGCUUGAAUCCGGGAGAGGGAUGCGGAAUUCCAGGUGUAGCGGUGAAAUGCGUAGAUAUCUGGAGGAACACCGGUGGCGAAGGCGGGUCUCUGGGCCGAUACUGACGCUGAGGAGCGAAAGCGUGGGGAGCGAACAGG
rnacentral:rRNA from 1 species